GUGGCUGUGGCUCAAUGGUAGAGCACUUGCCUAGCAUGUGUGAAGCACUGGGUUUGAUCCUCAGCACCACA
rnacentral:tRNA from 1 species